AUAAGAUCCUGCAAAGGCAUGUUGACAAGGUGGAAUUGUCUAUGUGUGAGAGAGAAUAGGAAGUCUAGAGGGAGAGACAGACACAGCUUGGAUUUCAUUUUACUUAUGAUGUCUUCCAUCUUCUGAGGAUCUCCAAGGGAAAUUUAGAACAACCAAAGGAGGAGUGGUUUUCUGUUCUCUGUGGACUGGACUCCAUGCAUUACUCCCAGGAUUGAUACCUAUCACCUGGAGAACGGGAGCUGCAGUUUCCUGGAGCGCUGCAUGAAGCCAGAAAACUAGACACUUGUUUCCUAAAAUCACUCUUUAAUGUUAAGACUCUGGGCAGCUUUCCACUCGUGGGUCAGAUUGAUACCUCCACUGCACCUGAGUAAUGAGGUAUGCAAUCUGGAUUUCAGGAAGAAGGUGGCAAGUGCUGUGCGGAAAGCUCAAGCAAAGUCAGCAGUCAGAAGACAAUCUCUUCAUGGCUGCCUUUGAGACAAGAUACAGAACUCUCAGUACCUUCUUCAGCAUAAUGUUUGCCUGCAUGCCAACCAUGCAUCCUACUAUGAUGAAGGUGCACUAAACCUCUGAAACUGUCAUCCAGAGGAUCUUCUACACAGUGAACUGGUCCUGGUCAACUAAGAUCACAUUGGAGGAGCAGCAGCUGAACAACUUCUUGUAGGUGGGUGGGGCCUUGGGGACUUCCUGCUGAAGGGGGGAGCCUCCUGGACUUCCUGCACACUGUGAGCCAGGUCCAUGUAAUAUAAAUGAAUAUAAAUAUGUAUGAUAUAUAUGUGUUAUAUGUAUAUCUGGAGGGUUGUUCAACACAGUUAAGAUGCAUGGACUGUCAAUAAAAAUGCUGAACUUGCA